rnacentral:rRNA from 1 species
UACGUAGGGGGCAAGCGUUGUCCGGAUUCAUUGGGCGUAAAGAGCGUGUAGGCGGCCAGGUAGGUCGGUUGUGAAAACUGGAGGCUCAACCUUCAGACGUCGACCGAGACCAUCUGGCUAGAGUCCGGGAGAGGAGAGUGGAAUUCCUGGUGUAGCGGUGAAAUGCGCAGAUAUCAGGAAGAACACCCGUGGCGAAAGCGGCUCUCUGGAACGGUACUGACGCUGAGACGCGAAAGCGUGGGGAGCGAACAGG